rnacentral:rRNA from 2 species
CAAAACUUUCAACAACGGAUCUCUUGGUUCUGGCAUCGAUGAAGAACGCAGCAAAAUGCGAUAAGUAAUGUGAAUUGCAGAAUUCAGUGAAUCAUCGAAUCUUUGAACGCACAUUGCGCCCGCCAGUAUUCUGGCGGGCAUGCCUGUUCGAGCGUCAU